rnacentral:rRNA from 1 species
UACCCGCAGCACAAGUGGUGGUCAUUAUUAUUGGGCCUAAAGCGUCCGUAGCUGGCCUGUUAGAUGCCUGGGUAAAUCGAUGCGCUUAACGCAUCGAACUCCGGGUAGACCGGCAGGCUCGAGACCGGGAGAGGUGUAGGGUACUCGGGGGGUAGGGGUAAAAUCCUGUAAUCCUCCGGGGACGACCAGUGGCGAAGGCGCUACACUAGAACGGCUCUGACAGUGAGGGACGAAGCCCUGGGGAGCAAACCGG